rnacentral:rRNA from 1 species
AUUGAACGCUGGCGGCAUGCCUUACACAUGCAAGUCGAACGGCAGCACGGGUGCUUGCACCUGGUGGCGAGUGGCGAACGGGUGAGUAAUACAUCGGAACGUACCUUAUCGUGGGGGAUAACGCAGCGAAAGCUGUGCUAAUACCGCAUACGCCCUGAGGGGGAAAGCGGGGGAUCGAAAGACCUCGCGCGAUUAGAGCGGCCGAUGCCUGAUUAGCUUGUUGGUGGGGUAAAAGCCCACCAAGGCGACGAUCAGUAGCUGGUCUGAGAGGACGAUCAGCCACACUGGGACUGAGACACGGCCCAGACGCCUACGGGAGGCAGCAGUGGGGAAUUUUGGACAAGGGGGGCAACCCUGAUCCAGCAAUGCCGCGUGAGUGAAGAAGGCCUUCGGGUUGUAAAGCUCUUUUGUCAGGGAAGAAACACCGGCUCUAACACAGUCCGGGAAUGACGGUACCUGAAGAAUAAGCACCGGCUAACUACGUGCCAGCCGCCGCGGUAA